rnacentral:rRNA from 1 species
GCUUACGGCCAUACCAACCUGGCUAUGCCCGAUCUCGUCUGCUCUCGGAAGCUAAGCAGGUUUGGGCCUGGUUAGUACUUGGAUGGGAGACCGCCUGGGAAUACCAGGUGCCUGUAAGCU